rnacentral:lncRNA from 1 species
UGCCUACAGUUUUGCUAUCGAAACCAUAUUGUUGAUGAGGUGACAACCACUAGUAGUCAAAUUUGGAGUCCGGGCCAUGAAUCAUAAAUCCCAUGCCCCCUCUAUUGUCUCUAAUACUGCCAUCAAAGUUAACUUUGAUAUAAUCUGAGGAUAGAGAUUCUCAAGUGAUGAACAUCAGUCAGAAUGUUGUUGGAGGAGCCAAAG